rnacentral:lncRNA from 1 species
UAUUAUUUAUUUUACACUUACUAGUCAAUGUGACUUUCAUAAAAUUAUUACUACAUACACUUUACAUUGUGGACGGAUGCUUCAUCAAUUUAAAUGUGCAACACUCUUUCUUUUAUCUUAAUCAUAAAAAACAUAAUUAAAUCAUUGAUAACAUUCUCCCUCUCUUCCUUUGUAUAUUAUAAUAUUAUGGCAAAAAGUAAUGAACUUUAAUAGAGCCAAAUAAUCAAUUUUCUCACAUCAAAGGGAAAGAAUACCUGGGUUCUCGGCCAGGUUCAGUCCCAACAUGCUGAGGAAGUCGUGAAGUGGAGAGCUUCUUUGAGGUAUCUUUUACCAACUGUUGGGUUCAUUGCAAAGCAAGGGUUGGCUUUUAGGGGCGAUUCUGAAACAAGAGAAAAGUUGACGGAAUCUAAUGAAAACAAUCGAGGAAACUUCUUGGAGCUUUUGUCCCUGGGUUUAAAUGUCAAUUAGAUUAUCAAAGAUAAACUUGAGGCCGAGGUCAAAAAAAAUUAGUUCAGCUGGGGUAGGUUUUGCCAAGUGGACUUCACCUGACAUCCAAAAUGAGCUUAUAUAAAUUAUAUCAUCUAAAGUGACGGAGAAUAUAAUUGAAGAUUUCAAGACUUGUGCCGGCGAUGAUGACUACUGGUUCUCUGUUAUUGUUGAUGAGACAUCAGAUAUGUCAAAUACGGAGCAGUUCAGUCUGUCACUGGGAUAUCUGACGAGUGAAGGGAUCAAGAAAGAGAGCUUCCUCAAGUUUAUAAAAGUUACCCUGACUGAUGGCAAAUAUUUGUUUGAAAAGCUUCACGAGGCUGUCACGGAUCUCGGCCUUAAUCCCUCCCGCAUGGUCUCCCUGGCCGCAUACAGUGCCUUUAACAUAUCCGGCAUCAAGCAGAGUCUCGCCUCCAGGUGGAAGGAGGCGGCCCCCUCUGUGUCUACAUCCAUUGCUACGCACUUGCCAUCAACCUAAAGUGGAAAGGAACAGCUGAAACCUACUUCUGUGAAACGCAUUUCGAUAUUGCAAUCAAUUGUAUCGGAGCUUGAGAGCAGAUUUGCCACCUAUGAUACAGACAUCACAUUGUAAUCGUCAAUGACAGUGAGGAGGAUUCCUGCGUCAUGAAGCGUGUCGCGAAUCACAAACUUGAUCUCGAGCAGCUCUAGUUAGACCAUGCAAUCUUCCAGCAAUUCAAGGCAGAUAUUGACACAGAAGACAUGGUUUCGUCACAAAUUGCUGCAGAGUUGAUAAGCUCGGGAGUAUUCCGCCUGAUGCUGUACAAGGUGAUCGUGAUCCUGGCCUCAAUGCCCAUCAGCAGCUGUGAGGCGGAGCAGUCAUUAUUUAUGAGGGGUUGCGUGUUUAAGAAAAUGUGUUCCGUUUUUAAAAUAUUAAUAUGGGAAAAACAUAUUUUAUAUUAAUUGCUAAUUCUUAUAUUAUUAAAUUUGUAUUUUAUAAAAAAAA